UACAGAGGGGGCGAGCGUUGUUCGGAAUUACUGGGCGUAAAGGGCGCGUAGGCUGUGCUGUAAGUCAGGCGUGAAAGCCCCGGGCUCAACCUGGGAAUUGCGCUUGAUACUGCGGCGCUGGAAGGUGGGAGAGGAUGGCGGAAUUCCCAGUGUAGAGGUGAAAUUCGUAGAUAUUGGGAAGAACACCGGUGGCGAAGGCGGCCAUCUGGCCCACAAUUGACGCUGAGGCGCGAAAGCGUGGGGAGCAAACAGG
rnacentral:rRNA from 1 species